rnacentral:lncRNA from 1 species
AGUUCAACGGGAGUUGAGAGUGAUGUGUUGAUGUCAGCAAUGAAGCAGCUGUGACUUGCAGCUCUCUGAUCCAGGCAGGCUCUCAAAAGUGGAAGUAAAAGCCCAACAAGAAGGAAGAAUGAAUUCUCCAUGUUGACAAACAUCUGCUCCCAGAAAUAAAAAUAUCCUUUAUUCAGAGAGACUUCUUCUUCUUCCUCUUCCUCUUCCUCUUCUCCUUCUCCUCCUUCCCCUCCUCCUCCUCCUCUUCUUUCUUCUUCUUCUUCUUCUUCUUCUUCUUCUUCUUCUUCUUCUUCUUCUUCUUCUUCUUCUUCCCCCUUCCCCCUUCCCUUUCUCCUCCCUUCCCCUCCCCCUCCCCCCUCCUCCUCCCUCUCAUCCUCCUCCUCCUUCUUCUCCCUUUUUUCUUUUCCCUUGAGACAUGGAUUCUCUGUGUAGUCCCAGUUGUACUCACUACGUAGACCAGGUUGGCCUCAAGCUUACAGAGUUCUGGCUGCCUCCACCUCUCAGGUACUGGGAUUAAAGGGGAACUCCACCAUGUCUGGCUCAGAAAUAGUUCUCAACCUCUUCAGGGAAUGUAAAAGCAUUGCAGGGGCUGGGGAAAUGAUAAUGAACGUAGUAAAAAACAAAAUGCCUUUCAGACAUCUAAAAAUAGCUUAGACAAGAUCCAACACUCCACCCAAGGCUGCACCCGAUAACCAGAACCCAGGGAUAUCCUUCACCCAAGAUAACCAGACACAGUCCUGGAACCCGUGACACCCAUUCAACAGUAUAUAAGCAGAGAUCGAGAGCAAUAUUCUGCUCUACACAUCUAGAGAGACGCCACCUUGAUCUACCCUGUGGCUACAGAAUCUCAAACAGGGUCCUGACCCUCAAAUCAAAGACUUAGAGACUUUAGACUUCUGUUAAAGACUGGACCUGACCUUCAGCUAAGAUAACUCGUACCGGUGAGUAGCCUUGGGGAGAUAGGCUUCAAACCAUUAGUUAGGAGUUCAGAGUGUGAACCCUCAGCAUAAUAAAAUAUAACUUUUGUUAUACUAACUACACGCACCUACCUUCAUGCUCACUAUAGUGGUUGAAGGCACACACUGCUCUUCCAGGGGACCCAGAUUUAGUUCCCAGCACCCAUAUGCGGGUGGCGAUUCCCAACUGUCUGUAAUUCAGGUCCAUGAGGAGCUGAUACCGCCCAGCAUACACACAUGCACAUGAUUAAAGAUAACAACAAAUCUUCUAAAAAUAGGUGUACCAAUCAUGAGAGAUGAUGGCUCUGGUUAGGGCACUUGUUGCUCUUACAAAGGACCCAGGUUUGGUUCCCAGCACCUACAUGUGGUUCACAACCAUUCAUAACUCCAGUUCCAGGGAAUUUGACACUCUUUCUAGCUUCUGCAGGCACCAGACACACACGUGGUGAACCUCUGUAUAUAUAGGCAAAUACUCAUUUACACAAAAUAAAAUAAAUCUAAGAUUGCAGAGGAAAAUAUCUAAAUCACUAAAUACAAAUGCUUUACACUUAUUCGUUGUGUGUGUGCGUGCACCCACGCUCUGAUACCAAGGCUUGCACAUGGAGGUCAAAGACAACGUGCAGAACUCAUUUCUCUCCUUCCACCAUGUGGGUCCUGGGGAAUCAAACUCAAGUUGUCAGGUUUGGCCGAAAGUGCCAUAGUACACUGAUUCAUUUUGGUGACCCAACUGCCACCUCCAUCUCUUCUUGUUCUUUUUUUCCCCACCUUCUUCUUGAGACUGAGUCUCAUAUAGCUUAGGCUGGGCUCCAAUUUGCUUUGUAGCUGAAGAUACUGUCGUUAAUCCUUCUGCCUCUGCCACCCAAAUGCUGGGAUUAAGUAUGUGCAUAAAACCAGUGGCUUCUAUAACCAUUAACUAGGAAAGUCUACAAUCGGCUGUCUUAAGGCCCAUUAAGGGUGUUGUAAUGUGAGGAUUUGUGUUUCUCUUUAUUUCCCCCACCUGGCCUAUUUCCUGUUUCUAAGGUACUUUGGUUGUCAUAGAAACAGAAACAAACACAACUAAUUUCCUCUAAUUGAGCUGCAGGAUCCCACCCCCAGCUUUGCCCACAGGCACAGCUGUGUGACCCUUUACAGCUCUUCCAUGCUCUUCUCCCUGACUCUGUCUGCUCAUCGCCCACUCCUGGGCCGGCUGCACCUUUGAAAGUGUGGAUAGCUGUGUGAUUACUUGCCUCCAGCUCCACACUGAGUGUGCAAAGCAAACUCUCGCAGCAGAGACUAGUGCUUCCAAAAGCCCAAGUUAGUUUAUGGGCUCAUGUUGAUUGAUCGGUGACAUUAGGGUUACUUAAGGGUUUCCAGGGAUUUUAUGUUUUCCUUAUUAGAUUGCUGUGUAAAAGUAAUUUUUGUCCCUUGGUAUCUAAGUAGCAUAGGGCAUGUAAAUGUACCAAGAGGGCUACUCAUUGGAUUCUGCUAUCAUGAAGCUCAGUGAAGGAAAUAGAUUACUGAAGAGCAACUGAAAGCUGGAAAGUUCGCGUGUGAACAAUCUUCUGUCUUUCCUUCACUCUCUCCUUCCCUCCUAACUUUCUAACUUGGGGAAGGAUUUCAUCUUACACCAUAAUGGGGCUGGGGCGUAGAUGUGACUCUAGACCGGUGGUUCUCAACCUUCCUAAUACUGAGACCCUUUUAUAUGCAGUUCCUCAUGUUGUAGCCACCCUCACCUAUGACAUUAUUUUUGUUGUGCCUUCAUAACUGUAAUUUUGUAAUUACAGUUUUAUGUAACUGUAAUUGUGUUACCCUUCUGAAUCAUAAUGUAAAUAUCUGAUAUGCAGGAUAUCUGAUACGUGGCCCCUGUGGAAGGGUCACGACCCACGGGUUGAGAACCGCUGCUCUCAACAGAAUCCCUGGAAUCCACUGAAGCAACAGGUGUCUCUAUUGACAGUUGCUGAUGGGGAAAGUGUGACGUGUUGCUGGGAUAGUCGCUGUCAACAGGAAAGCCAGGCACCUGCUGGUCAGUCAUGCUGCGGUUCUUCCAACACACACCCUACUAAAGAGGAAAUCGCAAAGGAGAACCGAAGAGAUGAUUGACUUUACGGCGAGGGGCGUGGUUACAUCUUACACGAGCCACGAGCAGUGUGAGUAUAUUUUUAGGUCAAGCGAGCUUAACACGAAAAUACCAGCAAUGGCUGCCAUGGUGGCACACACCUUUGAUCCCAGCACUCAAGAAGCAGAGGCAGGCAGGUCUCUGGGAGUUCAAGGCCAGUCAUAGUGAGUUCCAGCCAGCCAGGACUACAUGAAGUCCCUGUC